AGCCUUGAAGUGUUUCCCACAUGUCAGACUGCAAAUCUGAAGUAGCAGACUAACGUCUACCGGGGCUU
rnacentral:tRNA from 1 species